rnacentral:lncRNA from 1 species
UUAUCAACAAAACUAAACAAAAUGUUUCUUGUAUGGACUCUUAUUCUUCCAAAGAAAGACCCACCACAAACAACCAUACCAAUUUACUCUGAAAGAGUUGGCACAAUGUGUGCUUUGAGAUUUAUUAAAGGUAUUACUUUGAUUUAAAAAGUUUUGUACAUUGUUAGUACAAAAAGCCAGCUACUAUAGAGGUUAACAUACACAUUUCAUCGAUAGCAUUGUUUGAUCAUAUCGAAUCUUGAUUUUUUUCUUUGUGCAUUGUUUUCACUUGCAGCAAUGAGAGAUAUAGAGAUGAUGAGUAAUCGCCGAUGAGACAAUCAACCCAUAAGAUCAUUGACCAAAGAAUAUAAUCGUCUAAUACCAGUAAAGAAAUUAUAAAUUAAAUUUUCUAUAGCAAUUCCAUCGGAAAAUAGUCAGCAUAGAUGUUUGUUCCCAUUCAAUCCAGAGAGUGUUUUACCCAAAUGGUCAAAUUCGAAAAGUAUUAGAAUCUGGUUUAGUUUUACAUGUAUCACAUUAAAUAGCAUGAAUAAUGUAAUUGUUUUUGAAAAAAAAAUCCAAUUAAUGACUUUACAUAUACAUGAUGAACUGUACACUGAUACAUACAUUGAUGAUAUAUUUGUUACAAUAUUGUGAAUUUCACGUUUUUUCGUUGACGUUGUUCAAAGCGAAUGUAGAAUGUAGUGAUACAUGAAAAUUUACAAAAGUACCGUCUUAUAACUUUCUAACUUUUAUAUUUUCAGAACCACGUUAUGAUGUUAGUAGAUCCACAUGUGAAGACGUGAUUCUUCGUGUUUUUUGAAAAUAACUCUGAUGUGAAAUAGAACACAUCUAAAGGUCAUUAAUAGGUAUCCAGUAUCCUAUAUUAAGUUCAAGGACAUUGAUUUAGAAAGUCAAUUCCUACAACGCACUUUUACUUUUCGUUGCACGUCUUUUAUCUGUAUUUUGAUUUUUAUUUCCAUAUAGAAUAUAUCGUUUCUGAUUUCGUGUAGAUGUUGAUUUUGUCUUCAUUUUUUGUCAGAACUAUCAAUGGGUAGGGGAACUGAUCGCUCACAGAUAUGUUAAACCAGCCUCAUUCUGCAUCAUAUUGUACCUGUCCUAUGUUUUCGUUGGUCUUUUGAAUCUGUUCGAUAAAAAUCAGGCCGUCGCUAUUUCGUCUGUAGUGAAUGGUUUGCUCAAUGUUGAAGGCCAUGCAAACAGUGACCUAUAUUAUUGCCUAUAUCUAUAUUAUUCAGAUUCUGUUGGAUAGUUAUCUCAUGGGCAUUCAAACAGC